rnacentral:lncRNA from 1 species
CUAGAAUAUGAACAUUUGGCCUGCCCCUCUCUCCCCUUACAGCACCGUAGACCCCGUGAUUACCAGCCUUUCGGGAAGUGGGACAGAAUACUAUGCUUCUCAAAGAAAAAAAGGUGGUAUUUGGAUGUUUUGUGUGAAACUUACGGCAUAGGGUUGUGCACACUGCUCUCUAAAAUUCCCUCUGCGACUGGGGUUCUAGUCCCUUCUUUAUUCCUUGAUGAGACUUUCCACCCUUUUCAUCUUUGCUAUAUUCUUUUCAAAGAAGCAGCGCGAUCUGAGAAUUUCGUUUUACUCUUUCUUAAUCUUCUGCCACAGACUUAUUUUGAAAACGUUCCUUCUCAUCGGAAUUUCGAAAGGGUGCUUAAAGCGAAUCGCUGCAACCCGCUCCGUGUCCCCCGCCCCCCGGCCCCCCUCCCCCCCCGGCCCCGGGAUAGGAGUCCGCGUCUGAAGUGGCUGAAAAGGCAAAUUGUGACCCUGAUAAUAACGAGAGCAACGGGACCCUGGGCGGUCGGCCCGGGGGACCUGCCCGCAGCGCGCCGCGACCCCGGCAGCGCACAAAGACGCGCCCGGGUGGGGGGGCCCAGCCCACCGCCAGGCCGCCGCCCGGAGCGCGCGCUCGAGCCCGUGCCCUGGCGUCGGCACCGCACAGCGCGGCCGCUCCCCUCCUUCUCUUCUGCUCUUUUUAUUAGAAAGGAAAAAAAGAGGAGAGAGGGAGAGAGGGAGAGAGAGACAGACAGAGACAGAGACAGAGAAAGAGAUAGAACGCAAGAAGUCCCGCCCCUCCGCCCGCCCUCCGCUUUCCAUUGGCCCGGCCUCCGCGCGCGUCACUUCCGGAUGCGCCAAUGGCGAGGCGCGAUACUGCGAGGUGGGCCGGGCCCGAGCGCGGAGUGGGCGGCGGGUCGGUGCAGCAGCCCCGCCGCGGCUCGGCCACCAUCGCCGAGGCGCCGCUGCUCCCACAGACGCUCGCGAGCCGCCCCCCGCGCUCCCAGCCUCCUCUUCCUCCCGCACGCCCGAGACGCUCGCCCGACUCGGGUCUCGCCCCCGCCUCCGCCUCCCCCGUGCUCUCCCCUCGCUCGCCUCCCACCUUGUCUCUGCCUCAUUUUCUCUCCUAGUUGA